rnacentral:rRNA from 1 species
GAACAUGCUGGAAAGCAUGGCCAUAGCGGGUGACAGCCCCGUAUUCCAAGCUCGAUGGAACGUAUUAAGUAGGGCGGAACACGUGAAAUCCUGUCUGAACAUGGGGGGACCACCCUCCAAGCCUAAAUACUCGUACAUGACCGAUAGCGAACACAGUACCGUGAGGGAAAGGUGAAAAGCACCCCGACGAGGGGAGUGAAACAGUACCUGAAACCGAACGCCUACAAUCAGUUGGAGGGCCCAUGCGGCCUGACAGCGUACCUUUUGUAUAAUGGGUCAUCGACUUAGUGU